rnacentral:rRNA from 1 species
UACGUAGGGUGCAAGCGUUGUCCGGAAUUAUUGGGCGUAAAGAGCUCGUAGGCGGUUUGUCGCGUCUGCCGUGAAAACUCAGGGCUUAACCCUGAGCCUGCGGUCGAUACGGGCAGGCUAGAGUUCGGUAGGGGAGACUGGAAUUCCUGGUGUAGCGGUGAAAUGCGCAGAUAUCAGGAGGAACACCGGUGGCGAAGGCGGGUCUCUGGGCCGAUACUGACGCUGAGGAGCGAAAGCGUGGGGAGCGAACAGG